AGGGCCGCUACUGCAAGUGGGGCUACGGUGGCCGCAGCACGGACUGCUACUGGCACCUGCGCCUCCCUCCGUCAGGAUCCAUCGAUUUGGAUUUGGCUAUGGACGAAUGAGUUUUGGAUUUGCCUUUGCUCCAAUCCGCUACCCGGCAGCGCGCGGAGGGCGAGCGCGAGGUGGAGCGGUGGCGCUGCAUCCGAGCAGCGGCAGCGGCGCACGAAGCAGCAAGAGGAGCAUAUUUUUUCAAUUUUUUUUUGAUUUGUGACGGGGCAACACCGCCGGUUCUGGAACCGGUGGUGAUGGUUUGCACUAUCACCGCUGGGUCUUGAACCGUUGGUGAUGGCCCUCUUCAUCACCAUCGAGUUAAAUCCAACGCCUCCCCAAACCGGCGGUGAUGACUAUUUUCAACCGGCGGUGAUAGGGGUUA